GAUGAACGCUGGCGGCGUGCCUAAUACAUGCAAGUCGAGCGAACAGACGAGGAGCUUGCUCCUCUGACGUUAGCGGCGGACGGGUGAGUAACACGUGGAUAACCUACCUAUAAGACUGGGAUAACUUCGGGAAACCGGAGCUAAUACCGGAUAAUAUAUUGAACCGCACGGUUCAAUAGUGAAAGACGGUUUUGCUGUCACUUAUAGAUGGAUCCGCGCCGCAUUAGCUAGUUGGUAAGGUAACGGCUUACCAAGGCAACGAUGCGUAGCCGACCUGAGAGGGUGAUCGGCCACACUGGAACUGAGACACGGUCCAGACUCCUACGGGAGGCAGCAGUAGGGAAUCUUCCGCAAUGGGCGAAAGCCUGACGGAGCAACGCCGCGUGAGUGAUGAAGGUCUUCGGAUCGUAAAACUCUGUUAUUAGGGAAGGACAAAUGUGUAAGUAACUAUGCACGUCUUGACGGUACCUAAUCAGAAAGCCACGGCUAACUACGUG
rnacentral:rRNA from 1 species